rnacentral:rRNA from 1 species
UACGAAGGGGGCUAGCGUUGCUCGGAAUCACUGGGCGUAAAGCGCACGUAGGCGGAUCUUUAAGUCAGGGGUGAAAUCCUGGAGCUCAACUCCAGAACUGCCUUUGAUACUGGGGAUCUCGAGUCCGGAAGAGGUGAGUGGAACUCCGAGUGUAGAGGUGAAAUUCGUAGAUAUCGGAAGGAACACCAGUGGCGAAAGCGGCUUCCUGGUCCAGCACCGACGUUCAGGCACGAAAGCGUGGGGAGCAAACAGG